GGACGCUUGGUGUAGUGGUAGCAUUUCUGAUUCCAGUGUUUUCAUCCAAUGAAUUCGGGAAUUCCAGACGGUCACCUGUUCAAAUCGGGUAGCGUUCA